AGGAGAGGCGGCGGGAGCUGCCCGAGUUUAGGCCAGGGAAGGGAAGGCUGAGAGGGGAUCUCGGUUAUACACAUCCUGCGGGGAGCGGCUGAGGGGGCGUCCCAGCCUGGUGAAAAAGGGGUUCAGGGGGACCUUGCUGCUGUCUGCAACUCCCUGACAGGAGGGUGGGCCAGGUGUGGGUCGGGCUCUUCUCCCACGGAACCAGCGACAGAACAAUGGGGCAGAGCCUUAACCUGCGCCAGGGCAGCUUAGGUUGGACAUCAGGAAGAAUCGUCUCAGAAGGGAUGUUUUGACAUUGGAACAGGCUGCCCAAGGAGGCGGUGGAGUCACGGUUCCUCUCGGUCCUUGAAGAAACGCUGGAUGUGGCACUCAGUGCCAUGGUCAGCUGUAGUUUGCAUUUACUGCAUCUGAUUUGGAACCCUAACUUGGAAGCCAAGUUUCACGAGACAG